UACAGAGGGUGCAAGCGUUAAUCGGAAUUACUGGGCGUAAAGCGCACGUAGGCGGAUCGAUCAGUCAGGGGUGAAAAUCCCAGAGCUCAACUCUGGAACUGCCUUUGAUACUGUCGAUCUGGAGUAUGGAAGAGGUGAGUGGAAUUCCGAGUGUAGAGGUGAAAUUCGUAGAUAUUCGGAAGAACACCAGUGGCGAAGGCGACUUACUGGACACAUAUUGACGCUGAGGUGCGAAAGCGUGGGGGAGCAAACAGG
rnacentral:rRNA from 1 species